CAAUAAGCGGAGGAAAAGAAACCAACAGGGAUUGCCCUAGUAACGGCGAGUGAAGCGGCAACAGCUCAAAUUUGAAAUCUGGCUUCGGCCCGAGUUGUAAUUUGUAGAGGAAGCUUUUGGUGAGGCACCUUCUGAGUCCCCUGGAACGGGGCGCCAUAGAGGGUGAGAGCCCCGUAUAGUCGGAUGCCGAUCCAAUGUAAAGCUCCUUCGACGAGUCGAGUAGUUUGGGAAUGCUGCUCAAAAUGGGAGGUAAAUUUCUUCUAAAGCUAAAUACCGGCCAGAGACCGAUAGCGCACAAGUAGAGUGAUCGAAAGAUGAAAAGCACUUUGAAAAGAGGGUUAAAUAGCACGUGAAAUUGUUGAAAGGGAAGCGUUUGUGACCAGACUUGCGCCGUUCCGAUCAUCCGGUGUUCUCACCGGUGCACUCGGGGCGGCUCAGGCCAGCAUCGGUUUUGGUGGGGGGAUAAAGGUUCGGGGAACGUAGCUCCUCCGGGAGUGUUAUAGCCCCGGGCGUAAUGCCCUCGCCGGGACCGAGGUUCGCGCAUCUGCAAGGAUGCUGGCGUAAUGGUCAUCAACGACCCGUCUUGAAACACGGACCAAGGAGUCAAGGUUUUGCGCGAGUGUUUGGGUGUAAAACCCGCACGCGUAAUGAAAGUGAACGUAGGUGAGAGCUUCGGCGCAUCAUCGACCGAUCCUGAUGUAUUCGGAUGGAUUUGAGUAAGAGCGUUAAGCCUUGGACCCGAAAGAUGGUGAACUAUGCUUGGAUAGGGUGAAGCCAGAGGAAACUCUGGUGGAGGCUCGCAGCGGUUCUGACGUGCAAAUCGAUCGUCAAAUCUGAGCAUGGGGGCGAAAGACUAAUCGAACCAUCUAGUAGCUGGUACC
rnacentral:rRNA from 1 species